rnacentral:rRNA from 1 species
AGGGCGCAUGAAGGAUGCCUUGGCUCUCGGAGGCGAAGAAGGACGUGACAAGCUGCGAAAAGCCGCGGAGAGGGGCAAAUACCCUUAGAUCCGCGGAUGUCCGAAUGGGGCAACCCGGCACGUAACGCGUGCCGUUCCGCAAAGCGGGACGCCAACCCGGGGAACUGAAACAUCUCAAUACCCGGAGGAAAAGAAAACAACAGUGAUUGCGCUAGUAGCGGCGAGCGAACGCGCAGGAGCCCAAACCGAAGCUGUGGCAACGCAGCGUCGGGGUAGAAGGACCGAGCGACAAAGUCAAGAGCGACGGAUAGCAGAACGCCCCUGGAAAGGGCGGCCGCAGAGGGUGAAAGCCCCGUAAGCGAAAUCCGGGACAAAGACGAGUUCGGCACCUGAGUAAGGCGGGACACGAGAAAUCCUGCCCGAAUCAGCGGGGACCAUCCCGUAAGGCUAAAUACUACCGAGAGACCGAUAGCGAACCAGUACCGUGAGGGAAAGGUGAAAAGAACCCCGAACAGGGGAGUGAAAAAGACCCUGAAAUCAUGCGCCUACAAGCGGUCGGAGCGGUGCAAUACCGUGACGGCGUGCCUUUUGCAUAAUGAGCCUACGAGUUGCCCUCACCGGCGAGGCUAAGUGUCCAUAGGCACGUACCCGGAGCGAAAGCGAGUCAGAACAUGGCGAUAAGUCAGUGGGGGCAGACGCGAAACCAAGUGAUCUACCCUUGGGCAGGAUGAAGGACGGGUAACACCGUCUGGAGGUCCGAACCGGUAAGCGUUGAAAAGCUUUCGGAUGACCUGAUGGUAGGAGUGAAAGGCCAAUCAAACUUGGAGAUAGCUCGUACUCCCCGAAAUGCAUUUAGGUGCAGCCCCGGGCGCAAUUGCGCGGAGGUAGAGCGACUGACAGGAUGCGAGGGCUUCGCCGCCUAUCAAGUCCUGACAAACUCCGAAUGCCGCGCAACGUUCCCCGGGAGUGAGGGCGCGGGUGCUAAGGUCCGCGUCCGAGAGAGGAACAACUCAGACCACCGGCUAAGGCCCCCAAGGGGCGACUAAGUUGAAGACAAUAACGAAGUGGGAUCGCACGGACAGCUAGGAUGUUGGCUUGGAAGCAGCCAUUCAUUUAAAGAGUGCGUAACAGCUCACUAGUCGAGCGAUCCCGCGUGGAUAAUAAUCGGGCAUCAAGUCGUCCGCCGAAGCCGUGGAAUAUUAUCAGAAGAUGAUAUUGGUAGGGGAGCAUUCCGGCCGCCGUAGAAUCCGAGGCGUGAGCCUUGGUGGAGGUACCGGAAAAGCAAAUGUAGGCAUAAGUAACGAUAAUGGGGGCGAGAACCCCCCACGCCGGAAGGCCAAGGGUUCCUGAUCAACGCUAAUCGGAUCAGGGUAAGUCGGGACCUAAGAGGGAGCCGCGAGGCGUACUCGAUGGACAAACGGUAAAGAUUCCGUUACCCGGCGCAGGAGUGAAGUGGCGACGGAGAAGUGACACGCCCGCGUGCUGACGGAAAAGCACGUUAAACCGCGUAGGUAUACUUAGGGGAGGCAAAUCCCUCCUGAGUGCUGAAACGGGAAAGUACACCGAGUCCUGCGGGGCGAGGUGAUAGCGGCGGUAAUCAGGCUUCCGAGAAAACCCGCUAAACAUAUGCUGCGUCGGCCCGUACCGCAAACCGACACAGGUGGCCGGGUAGAAAAUACUGAGGCGCUCGAGAGAUUCACGGUUAAGGAACUAGGCAAAUUGACCCCGUAACUUCGGGAUAAGGGGUCCCCUCCUCCGGGAGGGGCGCAGAGAAUAGGUCCAGGCAACUGUUUAACAAAAACACAGGGCUGUGCGAAAUCGAAAGAUGAGGUAUACAGUCUGACACCUGCCCGGUGCCGGAAGGUUAAGAGGAGAUGUCAUCGCAAGAGAAGCAUUGAAUUGAAGCCCCGGUAAACGGCGGCCGUAACUAUAACGGUCCUAAGGUAGCGAAAUUCCUUGUCGGGUAAGUUCCGACCUGCACGAAUGGUGUAAUGAUCCGGACACUGUCUCAACCGUGAGCUCGGUGAAAUUGUAGUAUCGGUGAAGAUGCCGAUUACCCGCAACGGGACGGAAAGACCCCGUGAACCUUUACUGCAGCUUAGCAUUGGGACCGGGUGCGCGAUGUGUAGGAUAGUCAGGAGGCGAAGAAGUGAGCGCGCCAGCGUUUGCGGAGCCGUUGUUGAAAUACUGACCUUUGCGCAUUUGGUUUCUAACUUGCAAAAGCGAGGACACUGCUUGGCGGGUAGUUUGACUGGGGUGGUCGCCUCCAAAAGCGUAACGGAGGCUUCCAAAGGUGCGCUCAGACCGAUUGGUAACCGGUCGCGGAGUGUAAUGGCACAAGCGCGCUUGACUGGGAGGCCGACAAGCCGAUCAGGUAGGAAACUAGGGCAUAGUGAUCCGGCGGUUCCGCAUGGAAGGGCCGUCGCUCAAAGGAUAAAAGGU